UACGGGGGGGGCAAGCGUUGUUCGGAAUUACUGGGCGUAAAGGGUUUGUAGGUGGCUUGUUAAGUCAGACGUGAAAUCCCUCAGCUUAACUGGGGAACUGCGUCUGAUACUGGCGAGCUUGAGUGCAGGAGAGGAACGCGGAAUUCCAGGUGUAGCGGUGAAAUGCGUAGAUAUCAGGAGGAACACCGAUGGCGAAGGCAGGUCUCUGGGCCACUACUGACGCUGAGAAGCGAAAGCAUGGGGAGCGAACAGG
rnacentral:rRNA from 1 species